GUACACGCUGUGACUAGCAUAUCAAUAAGCGGAGGAAAAGAAACUAACAAGGAUUCCCUCAGUAACGGCGAGUGAAGCGGGAAGAGCUCAAAUUUGAAAUCUUGAAAGGUCACCUUUCACGAAUUGUAGCUUAAAGAAGUGUUUUCUGUUACGAUCGUAAUAUAAGUUCCUUGGAAUAGGACAUCAUAGAGGGUGAGAAUCCCGUAUUUGACCAUUAUUUUCAGCUUUGUGAUACACUUUCAAAGAGUCGGAUUGUUUGGGAAUGCAGUCCAAAAUGGGUGGUAAAUUUCAUCUAAAGCUAAAUAUUGGCGAGAGACCGAUAGCCAACAAGUACCGUGAGGGAAAGAUGAAAAGAACUUUGAAAAGAGAGUUAAAUAGUACGUGAAAUUGUCAAAAGGGAAGCGUUUAACACCAGUGUUGUUUUCUCGAAAAUCAAUUAAAAAUGGCUCGAUUUUGUAUUGCUGAGACCUUAAAAGCUCACUGUACAUUUUUCGUGUCUUUUUUAAUGCACUUUUCGUUUAACGAGUCAACAUCAGUUUCUUUUGUUGUAAAAGGGUCAUUGGAAGGUGGCUUUCUUUUCGGAGAAAGUGUUUAUAGCCUUUGGCCUCUGCAAUCGGAGAGACUGAGGUCUGCAGCGUAGACUCUUCGGGGUUAGAUACAUUUGUGCUAAGUUAUAGCUUUUUAUAGACAACUUGUUGACUAUAAUUAGUCUUGUAGCUUACUCGCUUAUGCUAUUUUACCUACGCUUAGGAUGUUGAGUAGCGACAUACGCAC
rnacentral:rRNA from 1 species